AGGAAGAAUCCCCAGGAGGGAGGAGGAGAGCCACCCUGGGCUAAGGGCAGAGAAAGUCCGGCCCUGAGGGCUGCCCAAUUGGAGUUAAGAGCAGCCCAGAUGGAACACAGUAAAGAGCAAACACAUUUCUACCUGCACGCAUUUCUCAUGACUAUCUAGGAGGCCUGAAUGACAAGGACCUGGAUUAUACACAAGACAAGACAUGAGGACCAUGGUAUCAUAACAUCCAGAAGAACACAGCUACUCUGGUGGCUUCCCCUCCUGUCACACUGACUAUGAGCACCCCUCAGCUUUGCAGCCGGACAGCUUUGGAGCACGGAAGCAUGAGCACUGCAUGCACAGGAAGAGGCUGGGUGGUCUCUGAGAGCUGUCUGCCCUAGGGGCUGGGAAAGCACAACAAACACGGGAUCCUGCUCCUAAAGCAAGAAGUUAAACAACUCAAACGAGCUUCAGGAAGUCCCUGAAACUGACCAGAUGUCAUUAGGCCCCCUCCUUGCCAGAAUAAGAAGUAAAAGCUAAAGAGUCCCUGGCAUGCUAAAGGAAGCUGAGCUGCAAUGAAGACUCCUAAUCAAAGCUGCAAAGACUCUUAAGAUCAGACCAGCUGCCUGGAAGAAGCAGAAACCAGCUGAGCUGCCUGGUAGAGGAUUAGACCACCCGAGGCACC